rnacentral:rRNA from 1 species
GAUGAACGCUGGCGGCGUGCUUAACACAUGCAAGUCGGACGGAAAGUGGUGUUUCUUGUUGCGCUCGGGUGAGUAACGCGUAAGAACCUGCCCUGGGGAUGGGAACCACAGUUGGAAACGGCUGCUAAUACCCCGUAGGCCUAGGAGCAAAAGAAGGAAUCCGCCCGAGGGUGGGCUCGCGUCUGACUAUCUAGUUGGUGAAGCAAUAGCUUACCAAGGUGCUGAUCAGUAGCUGGUAGGAGAGGAUGAUCAGCCACACUGAGACGGAGACACGGCGCAGGGUACUACGGGAGGAAGCCGUGAGGAUUACGGAGCAAUGGGGCGUAGGUGGACGGGGCCUUGCGGCGGGGAGGUAGUAGGACUAGGGGUCAAGAACUUCUUUACCCGGAGAAGAAGCAAUGACGGUACCUGGGGAAUAAGCAACGGCUAACUAUGUG